CCUACGGGCGGCAGCAGUGAGGAAUAUUGGUCAAUGGGCGAGAGCCUGAACCAGCCAAGUCGCUUGAAGUCUUCCUUCCCUCCUUUUUUUCCCCUUCUUUUUUCCUUUCUCCCUUUAUUCCACGUGUUGUCUUAGCGAGAGUACCUGAAGAAAAAGCAUCGGCUAACUCCGUGCCAGCAGACUCGGUAAUACGGAGUAUGCGAGCGUUAUCCGGAUUUAUUGGGUUUAAAGGGUGCGUAGGCGGAAUAUCAAGUCAGCGGUAAAAAUUCGGGGCUCAACCCCGUAGUGACGUUGAAACUGAGGUUCGUGAGUGGGCGAGAAGUAUGCGGAAUGCGUGGUGUAGAGGUGAAAUGCAUAGAUAUCAAGCAGAACUCCGAGUGCGAAGGCAGCAUACCGGCGCCCAAAUGACGCUGAAGCACGAAAGCGUGGGUAUAGAAAAGGAUGAGAGAAAAAAGGAGGC
rnacentral:rRNA from 1 species